ensembl:misc_RNA Metazoa_SRP Metazoan signal recognition particle RNA
GCCGGGCGUGGUGGUGCAUGUCUGUAAUCCCAGCUACUCGGGAGGCUGAGGUGGGAGGAUGGCUCGAGCCCAGGGGGCGGAGGUUACAGUGGGCCCAGAUCACACCACUGCACUCCAGCCUGGGUGAUAGAGCCAGACCUUAUCUCAA